rnacentral:snoRNA from 1 species
CUGCAGCCAAUUUAGCCGACGGUCCCCCUCCCCUUGGGGGCCUCGUGUGCAGUGGCUGCGACGGCAGCCUCCUUGGCAGUGUCCGCGGCUGGCUGCUUGCACCAAUAGCCUUGAGGAACCUUCCACGCAGCC